CAGCUAGCUCAGUCAGUAGAGCAUGAGACUCUUAAUCUCAGGGUCGUGAGUUUGUGUCCCAUGUUG
rnacentral:tRNA from 1 species